rnacentral:misc_RNA from 1 species
GAUGAAGAACGUAGCGAAAUGCGAUAAGUAAUGUGAAUUGCAGAAUUCAGUGAAUCAUCGAAUCUUUGAACGCACAUUGCGCCCGCCAGUAUUCUGGCGGGCAUGCCUGUUCGAGCGUCAUUUCAACCAUCAAGCCCCAGGCUUGUGUUGGGGACCUGCGGCUGCCGCAGGCCCUGAAAACCAGUGGCGGGCUCGCUGUCACACCGGGCGUAGUAGAUUUUAUCUCGCUCAGGGCGUGCUGCGGGUCCCGGCCGUUAAAGGCCUUUUUUUACCCAAGGUUGACCUCGGAUCAGGUAGGAAGACCCGCUGAACUUAAGCAUAUCAAUAAGCGGAGGA